rnacentral:lncRNA from 1 species
AUUCAUACUGUUACCUUUUUCAAUGUAUUGAUCUGCUUUUUCUGUAAACGGUGAUCUGCAGUUCAAGGUUCUUCCUUAAGGAAUAAUUCUAAGAAGAUAUUAAUAAAAUUGGAAGAAAUUACCAAGGGCUUGGAAACAAGAUACUCACACCAAAAGGCACUCCGUAUGUUCUUACUUAUAGUAAACAACUUCUCAGGACUCUGGAAGUGACAUAAAGC